rnacentral:rRNA from 1 species
CCUACGGGAGGCAGCAGUGAGGAAUAUUGGUCAAUGGACGCAAGUCUGAACCAGCCAUGCCGCGUGCAGGAAGACGGCUCUAUGAGUUGUAAACUGCUUUUGUACGAGGGUAAACGCAGAUACGCGUAGCUGUCUGAAAGUAGCGUACGAAUAAGGAUCGGCUAACUCCGUGCCAGCAGCCGCGGUAAUACGGAGGAUUCAAGCGUUCUCCGGAUUUAUUGGGUUUAAAGGGUGCGUAGGCGGUCGGAUAAGUUAGAGGUGAAAUCCCGAGGCUCAACUUCGGAAUUGCCUCUGAUACUGUUCGGCUAGAGCGUAGUUGCGGUAGGCGGCAUGUAUUGUGUAGCGG